UACAGAGGUGGCAAGCGUUGUUCGGAAUUACUGGGCGUAAAGGGCGCGUAGGCGGCCACCUAAGUCAGACGUGAAAUCCCUCGGCUCAACCGGGGAACUGCGUCUGAUACUGGGUGGCUUGAAUUCGGGAGAGGGAUGCGGAAUUCCAGGUGUAGCGGUGAAAUGCGUAGAUAUCUGGAGGAAUACCGGUGGCGAAGGCGGCAUCCUGGACCGACAUUGACGCUGAGGAGCGAAAGCCAGGGGAGCAAACGGG
rnacentral:rRNA from 1 species